UACAUAUUUCAGGCAUUUGUUUACAUUUUACCGUUGCAAAUUUAACUUUUUACAGAAUGAAUGGAACAUCAUAACAUGCCUAACAUGAAGUAACUAACCUGGGUGUGUACUGAAAGUAAAACAUGAAGUAGUGAGCACUAAGAAUUGAUAAUGACAAGAUAUAUUGGUAACAUCAGAGUUUGGAUUCUGGAUACAUAUAAAAUGAAUUAGGGUCAGCAGUACUCUUAAAAGACUAACGUAACAUCUGUGCACCCCAGGUUAUGAGAGACGUGACACGCCCCUUCCCACCCUUCCCCAUCUUGUUAAGGCACUCUUUAUGUCUUCACCGAAGCUGUUGUACCUUGUCAUAGUUCUGAAUAAAAAGCCACCCACCCCCAUCACUUCCCGCCCCCCACUCUGGUCUAGGUAUUGUUGCGUGACCAACCCUCGCUCAGAACACGAGCCAGGACGACACUGACAACAGGUAUGCAGAAUCUGGAAUACUAUGACUACUGAUGUGAGGCUCAGGCAUCCUCUUGCCUAGUCCAGUCGUUUCUCAUCUGGUUUUAUUUCGCCAUUUGCCCGGAGGGACGUAUCAGCUAUGGGCAACAGUGUCCCAGCGGCUCAGCCCUACAUCGUGGACGAGUACGAGUCUGAGGAGGACGACUUGCCCUAUGAGAGUGCUGUGGAGACAGUGGAGAGCAGCCGAGACAGGGAUAAUUCCUGUGAUGAUUCAGAAAGCUCUGACGAUGAGCAGGUUGAGAAAAAUAAACGUCAUAAAAUCUCUCAGCUGAAGCCUCAGAGCCCCGAGGAUGAAGCCAAGACCCUGGCCUACUUACUGGAGGUUUUGCAGAGCUGUGAGUCUGAAGGUUCACAGCAAGCUGCAGCUGCCCUCAAAGAUAUUGAGCUGAAUGGAAAUGUUAACAGGAACAAGAAAACCACCUGCUCUUCUUCUAUUCGAUUUAGCCUUAACCCAGAGGGUAUUCAAGAACCUAUCCUGUCUGAACCAUCAUUUUCUGAGUCAUCUGCAAGCAUAGAUCAUGCUAUUUGUGACUCUUCUGAUGCUGGCGAUGACUCCAAGUCUUGUCAAGUGACUCUGACUCCAUUGUUUAGCAGUGACUGUGAGAGCAAUACAUUCCUAGACACUUCAGAAAGCCAAAUGGAGGAUAUUCAACGGGAUAAAGUCCUGGCACAGUUGGACGAGGACUUAAAUCAGUUUGAAGCUGCAGAGGCUGCCAUCGCUGAACUGUCUUCCUCACACAUUCCUAAACCCAAAGUGUCCAUGCUUCCUCGUUCUAGGAAGGACAGAAUGAGCUGUGGAGACGCAACAGAAAUCAAGAAACCAUCAGAGGGUAAAAGAGGUCAAUCACCUGGACAGCUCAGGACUUCUGGGAUUCCGAGGUAUUCUGGCUCACCUAAUCAUUCGUCCACUUAUGCCAGAGUAAGCAGUUCAUCUCUAGAAUCUGAGACGGAGAGGAUAACUCUGGAUAUGUUACCAACAGAGACGUCUUCUGAAUACAUUCCUGUCGCUAACAGUUUUCUCAAGACUGAAAACUUGCCUGAAUUAGAAGAAAGUAAAGUUGAGGAUGAUUCCUCUUCCUGGGAUAUCAAUAUCUCCGAAGUCACAGGGAGAGCUCGUCAGACAAAGAAACGUUCUGGGAUCCCAUCCUUGUGGUCCAAGACUGACCCUAGUCCAAUCAGAAACAAAAGUUUUGGCGACCAGACAGUAGAGAAUAAACUAAAAAAGAAUGAUGUCAUGUGUAGCCACAGCUUUUCUCAGAUGUCUGAAGGGGAAAAGGCUGAUGUCAGAGCAAUUGGUGAAUUUGGAAACACAUCAGAAAGGAAAAUUUUUGAUUUAAAACGAUGGUACUGUAUCAGUCGUCCUCAGUAUAAAACAUCCUGUGGUAUCUCAUCUCUUGUGUCCUGUUGGAAUUACUUGUACUCAACCAUGGGAAAUGGGAGACUGAAGCCAUUGACGCAAGAAGCUGCUAUGAAAAUUUUGGGAUUCCAAUCUCCUUUUGAAGAGAUUAAGUUUGGCCCAGUCACAGGCAAUCUGACAUUACUCAGAUGGUUCCAAGAACUUAAUUCACAUUUUGAUGUCAAAGGCAAAGGUUAUUUCUUGUAUAAGCCCUGCGGCAAGAACAGAACAGCUGGUCUCACAGAGGAGCAGGCACUGCAGAAGUUAAAACAAGGUCUCCAAGAUCCAAACAGGAGUUUUGUCUACCACUGCCACAACCAUUACUUUUGUCCCAUUGGCUACGAAGACACACCCAUGUUCUCUGUUGAUGCUUACAAAGCUAAUGUAGGAGAGAAGGCUGUGGAUACUUGGAUACUGAUUGGAGACACAAGUAGAAAGUUUCCCUGUAUACAGUGUACAAGGUGGGAAGAUAUUUGCAUUGAUCUUAAGUGUCCAGAAAACAGCUACUUUAAUAUUCGUCAGAACUGGCGUGGUAUCAUCUCUGCUGAAAACUCCAGAAGACCAGGGACAAACCUGCACUGUAUCUUGGCUUUCCAGAAAGAGGAGAGCUCCUCGCCACUGAACAAAUUUCCAUCUCGGCUUCCUGUUCUGUCGCAACACAACCCAUCUCCCGCAGCUCAGAACAGCUCAUCCAGCAUUACCUCUAUCAAUCCUACCAUCCCAUCAGAAGCCUCCUUAGAUUCUCCACCAGCCAGUCCCUUGGAUUCCAACAAAAAUGCAUCUCCAAUCCAAGAGGAAGAGGAAGUAGGUCUAGAAACAUUAGAUUCAAGUGAUUCAGAAGCUGGUCUCAUGCUUGCUAAUAAUGACAAUGUUUUUGAUGAUGCUAAGACUCCUACCGCGGACUGAGCUUGAAAUGAUUCAUGGUUGGAAACAUUGCUGUCAGUUUACAUCUUUGUGUUUAUAUUGCACUAAAUUUAUUCGCUAAAUAUGCUACAGAUUUAAUUACUAUUUAAUCUCACACAAUUAUUAGUCAAAAUUUUCUCAGAUCUAUACUGGUAAAAUUUAUCCAUAAAAUGUUUCAAAUGAAAAGAUUCUCUCUUAAGGCCCCAAAUGAAAAGCUAUUCUCUUAAGGUCCAAAAUGAAAAGCUAUGAGAUGAAUUACCAAAUGCUUCAAAAACAAUUUUAUUUAUCUUUUUUAUAAUAAUUAUUUUGGUAGAUAAAGUGAGGAAUACUUAGCCUCAAAGUUUGUUCUCAGAAUCUAUACUUUUAUUCUCCAAACCACUUUUCUAUAUUAUCUCUUAGGGGGAGUGGAGGUUAACUACAUUAAGUCUUGAAAGCAAUUAGUCACAAAACUUUUGGCUGUAGCUUCCAGCAUGACGUUUGUCAACUGCUGGUCCAGACUUGGUGAACUAAUUUAGAUGAGAAUCAUCCAACUGCAGCGGCGUAUUAGUUCAUAUUCAUAUCUUCAUACAUUGAAGAGCUUCUUUUUUGUCAUUGUUGCGUUCCUCUUUUCUUAGCAACCUACUCUUGCUCAUGGAACACAGUCUGGAUAACUCCAUCUACAUUUUGCUAUUACCAUGAGAUAUUAUUUCCCUUGGUUGCUUUCAGUCUUCACUUCAUCAUUUCUUAAUAGUUGUGUUUGCCGUCACUUUUCCAAAGCUGCUUGUUCUCUUUAAUGAGCUUGAUUCCAUAACUAAGUGAAUCAUUCUUUCAAAACAUAUGCCUUAUUUCACUAUGCAAACAUGUUCAGCAAUCAUAUCAGGAUGUAGCCAUUGGCAAUGCCUGCCAGGCAAUCAUAUUCACAAUCUUGUCCAGUUAAUGAGAAUAGAUGUCAUGCAGCGAUAUCCCAAUCCUGUCCAGUUUUUGAUGAUACCCUGUAGUCAUAUUGAAAUUUAGCCUGAUCUUUGUCAGUUGAUUUCAAAUAGGUCCUUCAAUCACAUUUUUUACGUACACAAAUAUAUGAUCAUAUUUGAUGGAAUGACUUAAAACUUAAAAUUGUCCUCUUCACCUGUCCCUUAGUCUGUUUGAACAUUGGGGGCACCAUACAAGAUCUGUUGACCGUCUUUCUCCAUUCCUCUGUCUUUUGCCUUGGAUAGAAUCUCUUUCAAUAACAGGCCCGUCCAUUGUUUUAUGGUCUCUUCCCAUCGCUUUCUCUGUCUGCCUCUUCUUUUUUUCCUGGUACUGUUCCUUGAAGGAAAGUCUUCGUGAGCCUUGAGCACAUUGUAAUAUGGCCAUAGAGUUUUAGUUUGUCCUUUAGUUUAAGCCAAAGAUUGUGAAAUAAAAAUUAAAGGAAGAAAAAAGCUUUACUUGCAUCAAUCAUUCCAAAAACAAUGUAAAAUGUUUACAUUCGCAGCUUGAUACUCAUGAGUAAAAAUCUUUCUAUUGCACCUUUUUUUAUUAGUCUUUAUUUGUUGUUGCUGCGGCCAUUGGUUAAUGAGGGUGCUAUAUGAUCAAUACACAUUAUAAGAAAAUCUCGACAUAUAAAUCAGUGUUAUCAAAUCAUUAGUAUUCCCCUAAUACAUGCUGAAGUAUAUUGCUCUUAAUUUGUUUAAAUAGAAAAAUUCUAUUGUAGGUCUUGUAUUAAGAGUAUCAGCACCUCUCUUAGAAUGCCCCAAUUUAAUUCCCCUCAGUCAGACCCUCUUACCACAACAGCCAAGCAUAACCAACUCUCUGUAUUGUGGUACUGAACAACUGAGAAAAAACAGCUACUUUUGCAUGGCACAGACUGCUAAAGAGAUUGUAGCCCAGAAGCAAAAAGCUGGUUAGAAGACAAGAAGAAUCAGCACCUUUGAAAUAUUUGUAUAAUUAUAAUUUAGAAUUUCUCUUAGAAGACCUGCUUCUGUUUUGAAUCUUUCACAAAUUGUCUCUAUAAGUUUUCAUUGUCUCACAACAUUGGAAUCAAAACUGUAUAGGUCAGUGAGACCGCUCCCAUUCUGGGAUAUUUAAUGUAGAUAUAUAUUCUUAUAAUGUUUCUGAUGAAGGAUAAGUGAACAAAAUUUAGAGCAAAACAAAUCAUAGCAUUACAGUCUCAAUAAAUUUGGAACUCUUCUCAUUGGAUAUUCUUACUGUCACUGUCAGACAACGAAAUGUGUAUUCUGUCAACAAAAUGUGCAUUAUUCAUUACAUUUUUCUUUUUAAACAUUUUGUUAACUAUUAGAUGAAAGAGAAAUGUGGAUUAACCUGUUUUCUCAACUCAGUAGGACACUUUGCAAAUAAUUUGUUCACUAGUCAGUGAGUAGCCAAAGUCAAAGUAACCACAACCAAAGAAGUUAAUAUUUAAGUUGUCAUAACCCAAGAAAGCUUAGCAGCUGUACCCUAUAAUAUAUUGAUGCACCUGACAAAUUUAUUGAUUUUUAUUUACAGUGGUUUAUGAUUAAGUGAUCUCUCUAGCCUAAAAAUAAUACUAAAAAAAUUGAUCUAAUACAUUGCAGUUUAAGACAUUUUUGUGAUGGCCACUUUGGUGAUGGCCUAUGAAGGUAUUAGGAAAAAAUCAGGCUUGUAUGAUAACCCUUCUUUUUGUAUAUAUUGCAAUAUUCCUUUUUUUUUUGGAUAACCUGGUCAAUGACACUUCUUUUAGAUUAACAUUCUGAGCUGAUGAUAUUUACACUUUAGUGAAAGUGUCACAUUGCUCCAUUCUUCUUUAAAUCUUAGAAUUUUGUACUGACUACGAACUUUAGUUUUGUAAAAUGUUUUUGACACUACUUUGUAUCUAAAUCAGAAAAGAAACAAUGUUUAAAGUUUAAUCACAAAACAUUGACACAAUGAAUGUAAUUGAAAAUAUAGACGAUUGGCAUAAGCACACCUCAAAGAACAGUUGAAAGGAAUGAAUCAUUUUACAAAACUUACUCAAUAAUUAUUUAGUGUUACGAGAUGAUAGCUAGGAAAGAAAGGCCUAACAGAUGUGGUCUACAGACAAUGUUUAUCAAUUCACAAUUAUUAUGUCAGAAAAGCUGAUUUCAAGCUAAAAGCAACAUAUUAGCUUUCAAUUCAUUUCAAAUUUCUAAAGGCACAUUCCUCGUCCCAUAUGCUAGGACAAAUUUGUACAAAUACUCCUUCUUCCCUAGUGCUAUUAGAGCAUGGAAUGGGUUGCCUGAGCUAGCCAGGAAAACCAGUGACUUGGCAGAAUUUAAGUCAUUGGUUAAUAUGCAUGACUAAAUGCAUGACGCGUAGGACGUAAUCAUCUUCUUUUUUGAAGUAACGUCUGUAUUAUAUAAGAUAAGAAGAUAAAUACAAGUGGAUAUGUUCACAAUUAAAUGUGAAAUGCUCAAAGAAAAGAAUUUCUUUCAGACAAAAGUAAAAAUGUUUUAAUGUAAAUUUGUUCCAAAUAGAUCCACUUUUACAUUUACAUCUUGACCAAAUAACUUGAUAGUUGAAAAUGUUUUCAAUAGUAUUAUCCAAACAUGCAGAAAACAGUAAUAUCUAAAUUGUUUAUAUCUUAUCUUGUGAAAUACAGAUGCUAGUUUAAAAAAAAAAGAUGAUUAUAUCCUAUUCAUGUUCCUAGGUCAAUCUAGUCAUGCAUGUUAAUCAAUGACUUAAAUUCUGCAAAGCCAUUGGUUUUCCUGGCUGACUCAGGCUUGAUUCCAUGCUCUAAUAGCAAUAAGAAAGAAGGAGCAUUUGUCUAUAUCAUUCCAUUAUCCUAUAGAUGUUAAAACCUACAUAGUAUACCUUGAAGGUUAUGAUAAUAUUUAGCAACCUGGGCAUUUUUUAAUUAUAUAGAUUCUAUCAAUAUGGCUUUAAAUCUAUGAAUGGCAUCAGUUGCCAGGUCACAAAUAGUUUCUGAGUCUUUGGUCUUAUGUAUAUUUUUAAUUCAUGAUUAUUGAUAAAAAUCAACCUUAUCAAAUGAAAACUUCUUGUUUUAUUUACUGUAACCUUAUUUCUCAUUUUUGAAUUGUAAUUUGUCAUCUAUGUGAUGUGGCCAUCACAUUUAUCUCCCCCGCCCCCCCACCUCCCCAAACCAAUAUGCAAUAUACAUUUUUUUGCUGUCUGAUGGCUUGUUUUAAAAGUACGAACCCAUAUUAACAAGGUUGUACUUUAUUUUACUCACAUUGUGUGCUCAUAUCUCUGCAGUUUAUAGGCAUUGUAUUUCAUAUGAUAUUAACUUUCAACAACAUUUAUACAUGCAAUAUAAUUAUAUGUAACCCUCAAUACAUGCAAUAUAAUUAAUUAUAUGUAGCCCUCUAUACAUGCAAUAUAAUUAAACAUGUAACCAUAUAUACAGCGCAAUAUUUUAUUCUCUGUGAUAUUAAUAGUCCUAUAUUUGUGCAGUUUUGUUUUGACUUUAUUUUCAUUGGUUAAUUUCUUUCAGGCUUUCAAGUCGAUUGUUUCAAUCAGGGGCUCCAACUCCAGCCUGUUGCAUUGCUCUUGAAGCUAACUUCUCAACCUGUGUCACUCUUGAAACAUAAAUUCCAUUGAUCUAAAUAUAUGUAUACAUAAAUAUUGAAUGUGUGUAACAUCUUGAAGAAUAAACUUUUUUUUUCUUUA